UACGGGGGGAGCAAGCGUUGUUCGGAUUUACUGGGCGUAAAGGGCGCGUAGGCGGCCACCGCAAGUCGGUUGUGAAAUCUCUGGGCUUAACCCAGAAAGGUCAACCGAUACUGCGGGGCUAGAGUGCAGAAGGGGCAACUGGAAUUCUCGGUGUAGCGGUGAAAUGCGUAGAUAUCGAGAGGAACACCUGCGGCGAAGGCGGGUUGUUGGGCUGAUACUGACGCUGAGGCGCGAAAGCUAGGGGAGCGAACGGG
rnacentral:rRNA from 1 species